rnacentral:lncRNA from 1 species
GUGACAGAGUACCUUGUAUCAAACCAACUCACUGACCAAGAAAACCUGUAAAAGCUGGAUAGAAAACAACAAAAAUGACAACACAACAUCCAUGGUUGUUGCAAACAUUAGCCAUCAAAAAAGACAGCCCAACUUGAGAAACAGUAACAACCUGGAGCUUUAAGCAGUCCCACACGGUUAUGGAAACAAAAACUCCAAUUAAGAGCUAUCAAAGCAGGCAAAUCCUGGAGAACAAAGGAGCCACAGAGAAGUGAGUCUUGUAUUUGGUAUGCCUUUUCUUCCCAAUUUCUUCACCCAAUUUUUUAGGCUAUGAAAUGGGCCUAAACCAAAGCUUUA